CCUACGGGGGGCAGCAGUCGAGAAUCAUUCACAAUGGGGGAAACCCUGAUGGUGCGACGCCGCGUGGGGGAAUGAAGGUCUUCGGAUUGUAAACCCCUGUCAUGUGGGAGCAAAUUAAAAAGAUAGUACCACAAGAGGAAGAGACGGCUAACUCUGUGCCAGCAGCCGCGGUAAUACAGAGGUCUCAAGCGUUGUUCGGAAUCACUGGGCGUAAAGCGUGCGUAGGCUGUUUCGUAAGUCGUGUGUGAAAGGCGCGGGCCCAACCCGCGGACGGCAGAUGAUAAUGCGAGACUAGAGUAAUGGAGGGGGAACCGGAAUUCUCGGUGUAGCAGUGAAAUGCGUAGAUAUCGAGAGGAACACUCGUGGCGAAGGCGGGUUCCUGGACAUUAACUGACGCUGAGGCACGAAGGCCAGGGGAGCGAAAGGGAUUAGAUACCCGGGUAGUC
rnacentral:rRNA from 1 species